CUGUAGUUUUUUAGAAAGAUAUUAUGUUAGCCAUGGAGAACUGCAAAUAUGUUGUUACUGCUCUCAAUAACAUUGCUGGCAUGAAUUUAUCAGCUGUUAUCGACAAAGGUCAUGGGGAAAAGGUGUGAUUGACAACUUUCUGCAAAAUGCCGACUCUCUGAUUUCAUAACACGUUUUGAAAUCAGUGGAACACAACGGACCAAAUAAGCUGUGUGAACUAAACAGAAACAACACAGGAUUUCUUAUAAAAGGGGUUGCAGUCUGCCAUUAAGCUUUCAUUAAUGUAUACAGCAUUAAAUCAGUAGAACACGCCUGACUAAUCCACCAGUCAUACAGUCAUCAAAAGAGAGCUGGCCCAAGCAAAAGAAGGCAGAAGCGCAGCCAUAAACUACAUGCACCGUUUCUUCGCCAACUACGGUGUUGGUAAAACACUGCUGACCUGAAUUGUAAUAACUGCAGUGGUCAAAACAAGAACAAGUUUGUGCUCUGGUAUUUUGCCUGGUGGACCAUGCACAAGCUCCACCACAAUCUGGACCUUCACUUCCUGAUCACAGGCCACACCAAGUUUGCCCCUGACUUUGCUUCGGCCUCAUCAAGCAGCGCUUCAGAAAGACCAGAGUGUACACUUUGUUAGAGAUUGCUGGGGUUGUGAAGGACAGCACUGUGACAGGGGUCAACAUCCCACAGCUGGUUGGACUGGAGGAUGCUGCGGACUGGAGGAUGCUGGUGGAAAGCCAUGGCUGGUAAAACACCUGACUCCCUACUUCAGGCCGCUGCCACAGAUCAAGCAGUGCCAGCCCAUCAGGUAAAUAAAAGCUUCGAUGCUCUGGACCCUGGUGUUGUUGCCAAGGAGCGUUCGGACUGUCGGGACCAGGUUUCAGCUGCUGCGCAACGCUGACAUCCUUCCUAUAUUGAUAUAUAUAUUGAUAUAUAUAAAAUAAAUAUGUAAAAUGAAUAUUGAUGUGUGGUCAUAACAUGAUUUUGUGACAUAACACAACAAUAUCAUGUGUUCGUAUCACGUGUCCACCACUUAAAUAUAUGGCACAUGCAUCUGUUUAUAUACUGUACAUGUGCACCUCACUCAGGUUUCAACUCAGGCAUGGCCUUAACUUAUGUAUGGUAUACUAUGUGAUAAGUGCAUGUGUAACAGUAUAUAAAGUAUGCUAAUGUACUGGUGUGAAGGCAUUUGGGCAGUGGUGUAAAGUACUUAUGUAAAAAUACCCUAAAGUACUAAUUAAGUAGUUUUUUGUGGUAUCUGUACAUUACUAUUUAUAUUUUUGGCAACUUUUACUUUACUACAUUUUGUAAAGAAAAUAAUGUACUUUUUACUCCAUACAUAGAGCAGCUUGCUAUGGAGCGAGCAAACUAUAGUUGUUUGCAUACAUUUCGUGUCCGACACUUGCCUGUCUAAUGUAACAGACAUUUUGAAGGGUGGGGAGAGAGUGAGAGAGAGUGGAGGAGGAGGAGGAGGCUUGGCUUGAAGUGCUGGGCAUCUUGUUAUGAAAUGUAUUAUCUGAAUUAGGCACACAUAAAUAUACCUAUGGAGGAGCAGCCUCUAUGAUGGAACUUUGAAUGUCUUUCAACUUCUGAGAGUUGGCUUAACGUUGGUCCAGAGCAAGCUAGCAAGCGAACAAGCUUGUGUGUACAGAGUGGCACCAGAAUUUAAAUAAAACACUUACCUUUUUGUAGUAACUAUAGUAUCCUUAACUAGCAUUGAAAAUGUUAAUACAUUUUUCUCUAAUAAAAAUCUCUCUUCCUAGUUUCUGAAUCUUUGGAGCUAGAAACCGCGCUCCCAUUUCUACCGGCGCCAUCUUGUAUAUGCUUUGAUUUUUUUAAAUUACUCUUGAAACAUCAGUAGGCUACAGGAGCAAACACUGUCAAAGGUGGGUGACAGAGGGAGGGCUUUGCAUAGACGUCUUGUUACGUUUCUUUGUGGGGACUAGAAAAAAAUGCCUGGAACGUAAAAUAACAUUAUUAAACAGUUCCCAUGAUUUUUAAAAUAUUGGUUCUGUUCAGGAAUGGUACAGAUCACUUUAGUUCGCAGUUCAGUUUCUGUUCCUCUAAAAUGUUUGCUAUAUUACAUUUUUUAGUUCUGUUCCCUGAACCAGUUCCACCCCCUCAAACGUUUAAAUUAUAUUAAAUAC